GGGGUUGUAGUUAACAAUAACAUUUAAAUUGCAAUUAAAAGGUACUAUAUAAGUCUACCUCA
rnacentral:tRNA from 1 species